AUGAGAUCAUAUAGAGAUUUUGAAAAUAUCAUGGACUUUAAAAAGAUAAACGAAUUUCAUAGUUUAUAUCUUGAAAUAAAAACAAAACAAAUAGUCAGCUAUAAGGUAUCCCGAUUGGUCCCAAGUAGGCUUAGUUCACCUUUCGUUAGUGAGUUCGUUUUUAAGGCGUCUGGCCCACAUAUUCUGUUAGUAAUCCUCGAUACGCGGUCUAACAUAGUCAAUGGUCAAUGGCAUAAAAUGGGUGAACGAAUAUUGUGGUCGCUAGAAGGCACGAAAUGAAUCCAAUAGAAAUUAAAUCUAUCCGUAAUCGACUUGAAAAACUUGGAAAACUUUGGAACCACGUGAACGUGUAUCAUUUUUGUUGUACCUUUCUCAAAUUCUCUUUCUCCAUCUUUGAGGGAUCGAUGUUCAUUGUUCCGUAAUUUGUACAGCCGUGAACGAA